GGGUCGGCAUUAGCUCAAGUGGUUACUUCCUCACCCUGGACUUUCCAUCCAUCUAAUCCAUGUGCUGGGGUUCGAGACCCGUGGGUGCUUUCUGACCCUUUA
rnacentral:vault_RNA from 1 species